UACGUAGGGGGCAAGCGUUGUCCGGAAUCAUUGGGCGUAAAGAGCGUGUAGGCGGCCCGAUAAGUCCGCUGUGAAAGUCCAGGGCUCAACCCUGGAAUGCCGGUGGAUACUGUCGGGCUCGAAUCCGGAAGAGGUGAGUGGAAUUCCGUGGUGUAGCGGUGAAAUGCGUAGAUAUUGGGAAGAACACCUGAGGCGAAGGCGGGUUGCUGGGCUGAUACUGACGCUGAGGCGCGAAAGCGUGGGGAGCGAACAGG
rnacentral:rRNA from 1 species